AUUAAUUCGAAUGCAGUCAGCGGUGUGUGCCGUCAAACUCAUGGAACUAAAAUUGGCUACAGAACAGCACGAACACCGCUGAAGUUUUACCUUCCCUGGAACUAAUGCAUUAGACAGUUCAUUCGACAGUUCAUUCGACAGUUCAUUCAACAAUUCGUCGUUCGUCUGUUUGAACUGACUUUAACAUGGGAAAUAGACCAGCCGCACUGCCUGAUUCUCUGGGACUGUUUUGGGCAUGAAAAUGUGCCUGCGGUCGGUCAUAAAAUGACUUCCAGCUAACUUUUUAACCCCUGGAUGGAAUUGGCUGAAUUGUGACUAUGUUAAUAAUUAAAGUGUG